rnacentral:rRNA from 1 species
GACGAACGCUGGCGGCGUGCUUAACACAUGCCAGUCGAACGAAGAGCGAUGGAAGCUUGCUUCUAUCAAUCUUAGUGGCGAACGGGUGAGUAACGCGUAAUCAACCUGCCCUUCAGAGGGGGACAACAGUUGGAAACGACUGCUAAUACCGCAUACGAUCUAACCUCGGCAUCGAGGAUAGAUGAAAGGUGGCCUCUACAUGUAAGCUAUCACUGAAGGAGGGGAUUGCGUCUGAUUAGCUAGUUGGAGGGGUAACGGCCCACCAAGGCGAUGAUCAGUAGCCGGUCUGAGAGGAUGAAAGGCCACAUUGGGACUGAGACACGGCCCAGACUCCUACGGGAGGCAGCAGUGGGGAAUCUUCCGCAAUGGACGAAAGUCUGACGGAGCAACGCCGCGUGAGUGAUGACGGCCUUCGGGUUGUAAAGCUCUGUUAAUCGGGACGAAAGGCCUUCUUGCGAAUAGUUAGAAGGAUUGACGGUACCGGAAUAGAAAGCCACGGCUAACUACGUG